rnacentral:rRNA from 1 species
UACGGGGGGGGCAAGCGUUGUUCGGAAUUACUGGGCGUAAAGGGCUCGUAGGUGGCCAACUAAGUCGGACGUGAAAUCCCUCAGCUUAACUGGGGAACUGCGUCCGAUACUGGAUGGCUUGAGUUUGGGAGAGGGAUGCGGAAUUCCAGGUGUAGCGGUGAAAUGCGUAGAUAUCUGGAGGAACACCGGUGGCGAAGGCAGCUUGCUACACAAUCAUUGACACUGAGGCACGAAAGCGUGGGGAUCAAACAGG